rnacentral:lncRNA from 1 species
AGAAACCCAUGCAUGAUGCCCAAGCCCUGACCAAUGAGGUAAGAGUAGAAAUGUAGUGAAUAGAUUCUGGGUUAGUUUCACCAACAGGAAACUUACUUCCCCCCAUCUCUCUAUUCCUCUCCAGGAAAAGGGAAAGCCCUCCUUGCCUCCAAGACAGAAACCAUGAUGAGACAUCAAAAUUAGCCUGGACAAAACCUGCCAGUGACUCACGAUGUUGUGAGGAAAUGGUUAGAACAAGAAUGGAGGCUGAGUGUUCCAAGGUCAAGAGGGCAAAGGGAGAAGGAAAGAUGUGAGCCAGAGAGAAGCAGAGGUAAGGGAAGGGACAGUAAAAAUGUCCUUGGCAAAUACCAGACACCGUGCUGAAUUUUCAAGCUCAGUGUUAAGCUCCAGUAAAAAGGCUGAAAUAUCGGUGUUGUCCUGGUACAUUGGAUAAACCUUUAAAAGUCUUCUAAGUCCUAGACAAUUUCUUACAUUGAAUUUUGAUUGUGUUCAUCCUCAACUCCUCCCACUAACUCCUCCCAGAUCAACCCAUUUCUCCCAUGGAUUCCAGUUUAACAAACGUUGAUGAGUAAAGUUUGGCACCUAUAUAAACAAUUCAUGGGAUUUAAAGUUAAUGCUGUGGAUGAGCAGUCACUUAGCUGCUGUUGACUGAGAUGCACAGGGAACCCAGUCACCCCAGAGAACCUAUCCUAAUUCUCUGCACCGCUUCCCGAAGGAAACCGUAGACCCAUGGCAGAAUUAGGUGAUUUCCUG